rnacentral:tRNA from 1 species
GCGUUCGUGGCUCAAUGGCAGAGCAGGCGACUCUUAAUCGUCUUAUCGGAUUUUCCUGCGGAAAAUCUUGUCGCACUCGCUGCGCGAGUUUGGAGGGCUGCAGGUUCAAGUCCUGUCGGACGCA